rnacentral:miRNA from 1 species
CAUGCCCCGAACUCUCUGCCACC